rnacentral:rRNA from 1 species
AGGCCGGGUGUGUAAGCGCAGUGAUGCGUUGAGCUAACCGGUACUAAUGAACCGUGAGGCUUAACCUUACAACGCCGAAG